GGGUGCAGCAGGCGCGAAAACUUUACAAUGCGGGAAACCGCGAUAAGGGGACACUGAGUGCCAGCAUAUUAUGUUGGCUGUCCACAUGUGUAAACGGCCUGUGAUAGCAAGGGCCGGGCAAGACCGGUGCCAGCCGCCGCGGUAACACCGGCGGCCCGAGUGGUGAUCAUUAUUAUUGGGUCUAAAGGGUCCGUAGCCGGUUUGAUCAGUCUUUUGGGAAAUCUGACAGCUCAACUGUUAGGCUUCUAAGGGAUACUGUCAAACUUGGGACCGGGAGAGGUAAGAGGUACCACAAGGGUAGGAGUGAAAUCUUGUAAUCCUUGUGGGACCACCAGUGGCGAAGGCGUCUUACCAGAACGGGUCCGACGGUGAGGGACGAAAGCUGGGGGCACGAACCGGAUUAGAUACCCGGGUAGUCCCAGCCGUAAACGAUGCUCGCUAGGUGUCAUGGACGGUGCGACCGUUCAUGGUGCCGCAGGGAAGCCGUGAAGCGGGCCACCUGGGAAGUACGGCCGCAAGGCUGAAACUUAAAGGAAUUGGCGGGGGAGCAC
rnacentral:rRNA from 1 species